AGAGUUUGAUUCUGGCUCAGAACGAACGCUGGCGGCGUGGAUAAGACAUGCAAGUGGUACGCUGGCUGUCGGGUAGCAAUAUUCGGCAGUCGGAGUCGCGUUAUGGUGCGUAACACGUGGGUAAUCUACCGCGAAGACUGGAAUAACUUGCUGAAAGGCGAGCUAACACCGGAUGUGAAUGUCGAGGGACAUCCUUUGACGUUCAAAGUCGGGGACCGUAAGGCCUGAUACUUUGCGAUGAACCCGCGGCCUAUCAGCUAGUUGGUGAGGUAACGGCCCACCAAGGCUUAGACGGGUAGCUGGUCUGAGAGGACGACCAGCCACACUGGAACUGAGACACGGUCCAGACACCUACGGGUGGCAGCAGUCGAGAACUUUUCACAAUGGGCGCAAGCCUGAUGGAGCGACGCCGCGUGGGGGAUGAAUGGCUUCGGCCCGUAAACCCCUGUCAUUCGCGAUCAAACCCGGACUCCUAACACGAGUACGGCUGAUAGUAGCGGAAGAGGAAGGGACGGCUAACUCUGUGCCAGCAGCCGCGGUAAUACAGAGGUCCCAAGCGUUGUUCGGAUUCACUGGGCGUAAAGGGUGCGUAGGCGGUUGGGUAAGUCUGACGUGAAAUACUGGAGCUUAACUCCGGAACGGCGUCGGAAACUACUUGACUAGAGGAUUGGAGGGGGGACUGGAAUUCUCGGUGUAGCAGUGAAAUGCGUAGAUAUCGAGAGGAACACCUGUGGCGAAGGCGAGUCCCUGGACAAUACCUGACGCUGAGGCACGAAAGCUAGGGGAGCAAACAGGAUUAGAUACCCUGGUAGUCCUAGCCUUAAACGGUGCACGUUUGCUGUGAGUGGAAUCGACCCCUUUCGUGGCGUAGCUAACGCGAUAAACGUGCCGCCUGGGAAGUACGGCCGCAAGGUUAAAACUCAAAGAAAUUGACGGGGGCCUGCACAAGCGGUGGAGUAUGUGGCUCAAUUCGACGCGAAGAACCUUACCUGGCCUUGACAUGCAAGUAGUAGAAGGAUGAAAGUCUGACGAUCCCGCAAGGGAAGCUUGCACAGGUGCUGCAUGGCUGUCGUCAGCUCGUGUCGUGAGAUGUUGGGUUAAGUCCCGCAACGAGCGCAACCCCUGUGUCCUGUUGCCACCCCUUGACUGGGAGCACUCUGGACAGACUGCCUCGCUUCAACGAGGAGGAAGGUGGGGAUGACGUCAAGUCAGUAUGGCCCUUACGGCCAGGGCUGCACACGUACUACAAUGCCCGGUACAAGGGAAGCGAUACCGUCAGGUGGAGCAAAUCCCCGAAAACCGGGCCCAGUUCAGAUUGUCGUCUGCAACUCGACGGCAUGAAGCUGGAAUCGCUAGUAAUGGCGCAUCAGCUACGGCGCCGUGAAUACGUUCCCAGGCCUUGUACACACCGCCCGUCACAUCAUGAAAGCCGGUUGUACCCGAAGUCGCCCCUUAUAAGGUGCCGAAGGUAUGGCUGGUGAUUGGGAUGAAGUCGGAACAAGGUAGCCGUAGGGGA
rnacentral:rRNA from 1 species